AAAAUAAAUAUAUUUAUGCAAGUACGGGACGGUACGGGUUUUAAUAUUAUUCAGUUGCGGAGCACGAAAAGCUUACGCGCAAAUUAUCAAGAACUUCAAAAUUGUUAAUAGAAGAGGUUCUAGCACGUACAGUUCUGAUGUUUUACUACAAUUUGAUGUCCAACACAAUGUAAUGUUAUGCUGCAGACAUCGCCGCAGUGUACAACACUGGACAAUCGUAUUUGUAUGGUUUUAAUUUUCUUUAUUCGUACUCGGUCAUUUUCGACCCAGUAAUAUAGUUUACUUGGUGCUAGAGAUGUCUUUGCUGUUCUUCGGAGAUUCUCAUAGAGCUCAGUUUGUGGCGUAUAUUGAUAAACUGCAAAGAUAUGAUUUACUUAAUGUUGAUUCGGCAAUUGACGUGAAGUUCUGUGGAAUUAGUGGCGGUUGUUUAACAAACUCGAACCAUGUCCUGUUCUUUCAAGAUUGAUUAGUGAAGCAUGUUUAUUUGCCAAUUUAUUCUAAGGCAACACACCCGCCACAUCCCAGCGUACAUAUACAAUGAUUUUAUUAUUACUGAGAAAAGCAAACAGGGUGUUUAAGCAAGAACUUGGAAUACUUAACGUACUGGAAUUUGAAAGGAAUGAAACAUUCUAAUGCUAACAUUUUACAGAUAGAUGGUGUUCAUUUCAACAACCUGGGAUUUGAAUUUUUUCCACAAUGUGAGAGAAAUGAUUUUGAAGUGCAUUGCAGAUAUGUAAUUCACACAUGUACUGGAAGAUACUGUAUUCUAAUUGGUGGCACAUUUGUAUCUAUAUUAUCAUAUAACAACAGCGAAGGCUGCUGCAGCUGGGGAAGCUGCUAAAACCGAACGAA
rnacentral:lncRNA from 1 species